rnacentral:rRNA from 1 species
CCUACGGGUGGCUGCAGUCGAGAAUCUUCGGCAAUGAGCGCAAGCUUGACCGAGCGACGCCGCGUGCGGGAUGAAGGCCUUCGGGUUGUAAACCGCUGUCGUAGGGGACGAAAUUCCAGUGGGUUCUCCCAUUGGAUUGACCGAUCCUAGGAGGAAGGGUGGGCUAAGUUCGUGCCAGCAGCCGCGGUAAGACGUACUACCCAAACGUUAUUCGGAUUUACUGGGCUUAAAGAGUCCGUAGGCGGCCAAGAAAGUUGGGCGUGAAAUACCUCGGCCCAACCGAGGAAUAGCGCUCAAAACUACUUGGCUAGAGAGAGACAGAGGUGAGCGGAACUGAUGGUGGAGCGGUGAAAUGCGUUGAUAUCAUCAGGAACACCGGUGGCGAAAGCGGCUCACUGGGUCUCUUCUGACGCUGAGGGACGAAAGCUAGGGGAGCGAACGGGAUUAGAUACCCGUGUAGUC